rnacentral:rRNA from 1 species
AUGGACGCGCCGGCCGCCUGCGAGAUCGAGCGCCUGCCGGAGGACCUCCUGGUGCACGUGAUAUCGCUCACGUCGCCGGCGGGCGCCAUCCACGCCACCGCCGUGUCCCGGGCCUUCCACGCCGCCGCCGACUCGGACACCGUCUGGUCCCGCCUCCUGGCGCGCGACCUCCCGCAGUUCGCCAAGAGGGAGCUCCCCCGCAAGCCGCCGUCGACCAAGAAGGGAAUGUUCCGGCGCCUCUCCGACGAACCGGCCCUCCUCCCGGGCAAGUAUGUGGCAAUAAGCGCUUCUACAUGCAUCCUCCUGUCGGUCCCUAAAGUACCAAGGUUCUCACAAGCCGCUGACAUCGGCCAUGUUAACAUACUCAAGAUAUGUGCCAAGAUACAGAGAAACAUGCUCUCUCAAAACAUAACCUACGUGGCAUACAUGGUGUUCAAGCUAGGACCCAGAUUUUACUGCUUCGAUUUCCCGUUUCAAGAAGCCUCAUUUGGCGUUGUUGGCACCCAGUCGAUCCAGCAGGUUUGCCUGCAAGGCUAUGUCGAGGACGGUGAUGGAACCGGUGUUCCACCUCGGAAACACAUCAUGCCAAGUUCUUACAGUAUAUAUAAUCGUGACGAGGUUCCUACUCAAAAGAACGUUGUUUUCCCACGUAAGAAAGCCGACGGUUGGAUGGAGGUGGAGCUUGGUGAGUUCCAUAAUGAGGGAGGUGAUGGUGAGGUCUCCAUCAGCUUGACCGAGACAACAAAACCCAAGAGUGGCCUUAUUGUCUGGGGCAUUGUGAUAAGAAGUAAGCAACAAAAGAAAAAAGAAGAAGUAAGCAACAAAGGCCAGUAA